AUAUUGCACAAUGGGCGCAAGCCUGAUGCAGCGACGCCGCGUGCGGGAUGACGGCCUUCGGGUUGUAAACCGCUUUUGAUCGGGAGCAGGCCUUCGGGUGAGUGUACCUUUCGAAUAAGCACCGGCUAACUACGUGCCAGCAGCCGCGGUAAUACGUAGGGUGCAAGCGUUAUCCGGAAUUAUUGGGCGUAAAGGGCUCGUAGGCGGUUCGUCGCGUCCGGUGUGAAAGUCCAUCGCUUAACGGUGGAUCUGCGCCGGGUACGGGCGGGCUGGAGUGCGGUAGGGGAGACUGGAAUUCCCGGUGUAACGGUGGAAUGUGUAGAUAUCGGGAAGAACACCAAUGGCGAAGGCAGGUCUCUGGGCCGUUACUGACGCUGAGGAGCGAAAGCGUGGGGAGCGAACAGG
rnacentral:rRNA from 1 species